rnacentral:lncRNA from 1 species
UCCGUUUCAGAUUUCAUAGCUUUUAGCCAUCUGUCAGAGUUUCUUCUCAUGACAACUUCUGUAUAUGUCAAUGGAUCAUAAUCCUGAAUGAUCUGGGUCUCGAUGUCAUUCCUAAUGACAAACCCAUCAUAGAGGUGCUUAGUACACUCUAUCUGACUUAUGGAGAGGAGGUGUAUAUUAUGGAUGUACCUCGCCCUUGGAUACUUCUGGUUGAGGAUCACCUUGUGAACUAAUCACAAGUGACUAUGGGAUAGUUUGUAGGUCUUGAACUUCUACAAGUUCAAAUUAUUCUCCUACUACCUCCUUCUAGGAUAAAAUAUCUUUUUUCAAG